rnacentral:rRNA from 1 species
UGGGGAAUAUUGCACAAUGGGGGAAACCCUGAUGUAGCGACGCCGCGUGAAGGAAGAAGUAUUUCGGUAUGUAAACUUCUAUCAGCAGGGAAGAAAAUGACGGUACCUGACUAAGAAGCCCCGGCUAACUACGUGCC